AAGGGGUCCUCUGCACCUGCGUACAGACUUCUUUCCCAUGGAACCUUGGGCUGACCAGGGUAUUGCCUGAGUGGAUUCCACCAGGUAACAGGGGCAGGCCAUCAUAAUGCCUGAACCUUUCAGAACUGUUACAAAACUUAUGACUUUUGAAAGAUAUCCUAGACUGUAAAAGAGACUUUAACAUUUUAAUAUUAUGUUUUUUACAUUAAAAAAGUGAGAUCAAAGUGUGGAAGUUUUUCAUUUAACAAUCAUUGUGAUUUUAUGUCAAUUGGAAAAGAAAUAUAGGGUGAGCAUUGGCUUACUUUUCAAACUGUAUUAACAUAUAGAAUCUGGGGAAGAGAGCUUCACUGGAGAGUUAUCUCUGCUGCCUAACCUGUGGCAGUAUGUGGGUGGAAGAGUAGUCCUAAGUUACGUCUUGUAGAGAGAUGCUGCCAGUGUGAUUGGAACCAUUUUCUAAUCAGCAGUCCUGAACUUUAUAAGAGUGGAGAAACGGAGCUAAGAGCAAACCAAGAAGCAAGUGUGCAUGCGUGCAUUCAAGUAGCUAUGCUCCUGACUAUAGAUGGAACAUCAAUAGCUGCUGAAGUUCCUGCCUUGACUUUCCCACAAUAACAAAAGAAUGAAAAAUUACAAUGGAUUCUUCAUAAUCUAACAAGGCAAGGAAAAUAUUGGGGAAUAUCUUUUUCAUUUCAAGAUGAUGUCAAUUUACUGUAUUGCUAAUGUAGAGUAAAAAUAUAUGAAGAUAAGACAUUGCUUAUAUAAGCCAACUUCUUUUCUGUAUCAGCAUGUAGAUUUGGAUAUAAUGUUACUCAUCUAAUAAUAAGGCUCAUUGGGUAAAGCAGCUGUUGUUGAGUCUGAUGUUUUGAGUUCUAUCCCCAAAAGCUAAAUAGGGAGAAAUGAGAACCAACUUCUACAAGUUGUCAUCUGAAUUUCACAUUGUGUUUUGGCACGUAUGCACACACACACACAAGGAAAUAAAAUAUAGUUUCAUUUUC